UACGUAGGGGGCAAGCGUUGUCCGGAUUUAUUGGGCGUAAAGCGCGUGUAGGCGGCUUGGUAGGUCAGUUGUGAAAACUCGAGGCUCAACCUCGAGAUGUCGGUUGAAACCACCUUGCUAGAGUCCGGAAGAGGAGAGUGGAAUUCCUGGUGUAGCGGUGAAAUGCGCAGAUAUCAGGAAGAACACCAAUGGCGAAGGCAGCUCUCUGGGACGGUACUGACGCUGAGACGCGAAAGCGUGGGGAGCGAACAGG
rnacentral:rRNA from 1 species